rnacentral:rRNA from 1 species
UACGAAGGGGGCUAGCGUUGCUCGGAAUCACUGGGCGUAAAGCGCACGUAGGCGGCUUCUUAAGUCAGGGGUGAAAUCCUGGAGCUCAACUCCAGAACUGCCUUUGAUACUGAGGAGCUUGAGUCCGGGAGAGGUGAGUGGAACUGCGAGUGUAGAGGUGAAAUUCGUAGAUAUUCGCAAGAACACCAGUGGCGAAGGCGGCUCACUGGCCCGGUACUGACGCUGAGGAGCGAAAGCGUGGGGAGCGAACGAGG